rfam:Ornithorhynchus anatinus chromosome 12, whole genome shotgun sequence.
AGCAGCAUGGUCUAGUGGAUAGAUAACAGGCCUGGGAGUCAGAAGGACCUGGGUUCUAAUCCCAGUUCUGCCA